rnacentral:misc_RNA from 1 species
AAGUCGUAACAAGGUCUCCGUAGGUGAACCUGCGGAGGGAUCAUUAACACUAUUUGGUCUUGGAUUGUCAUGGCAACAUGACUUUUCAAGAUUCAAAUUUUCCACACACCGCGUGCACUCGGUUACUUCGGUAACCAUUAACUAUUUCGAGGGUUAGGUGACGAUGCGACGAAGUGAGCCUUACAACUUAUCAUACUGUUGACCGAAAGGACUUCAGUGUGGUUCGACCAGGCAGCAACUCUUCCGUCCUUCGAGGUAGUUCUUUGUGGGGGAUGUAACACUUCACACAUUCCUCACUCCAACCAUUACGCCAAUGUACUGAAUCGACGAAGGGAGCUGAAAUGCUCAUCUUCUCAAAAUCCAACUAAGCACAACUCUUAGCAACGGAUAUCUUGGUUCUCA